GCACUGCUGAGGAGUCUCACGAUAAGGCGAAACAGCUGUCCAGUGU
rfam:Schistosoma mansoni strain Puerto Rico chromosome 6, complete genome